rnacentral:rRNA from 1 species
AUGAACAAGGUCUCCGUUGGUGAACCAGCGGAGGGAUCAUUAC